CUAUUUGGUAGCAAAGGGACUUCCCUGUGAACGAGGUUACAGCUCGCCGCCUCUCUCUCUCGGCCAUACUACC
rnacentral:tRNA from 1 species